rnacentral:tRNA from 1 species
GGGGCUGUAGCUCAGCUGGGAGAGCGCCAGCUUUGCAAGCUGGAUGUCGUCGGUUCGAUCCCGAUCAGCUCCACAA